rnacentral:lncRNA from 1 species
UCUCCCCCGUAUGUCUUUCCUCAUCUUCUGUCACUGGUCUCUGCCCGUCUUGUUUUGCACCAAUCCCGCGUCACCCCCUGUGCUCUUCUCGAGCUGCCCAAAGGGCAGCUCCCCAUUGACCUCUUGACUGCUCUCUCACCUCUCUCUAGCAGCUCUCUUCAGCUGCCCCGAAGGGCAGCUCCUUUUCUCCUCCUCUUUCUCACUCCAAUCCUUCCCGUACUCCCCUCACGCUUCUUUCUGCCUUCCUUCUUUAUAUUUUCUUAACCUGCUCUCCAGCUGCCCACGUGGACUCAUUUGCACUGCCCUUUCUCUCUCUACUGUGUUGACCAAGCAGCAAUUCCAUCCUGUUUUCUUCACGCCGUCCCCCACUAAAUCCCUCUCUCCUAUUUUCUAUAUUCUAUUCGUUUCUCCCUCCUAUUAUUAUUAUCGCUGCACGUCUUUCACUCCAGCUUUUCCACUCUGUCCACUCUCCUCUCACUAUCCUUUUUCCGGUGCUGUACUUCCACUUCUUCUUUUUUUAUUUAUUUCUUAUUCUUGGAUUCUUUCUCCCUCCCGCUAUUUUCUAUUUUGACUCUGCCAGCAAAGCUCCCUUUUCACGCUGCUCGAAGGCAGCAUCCUCUUUCUUUCCAGCUGACACGCUCGUAUCCUUAUUCUCUCUCGAGGCUGCUUUUGUUUCCUUGGAUCCUUCUUUCUGCUGGUUUCUUUUAUUAUGUAGACAAGAGAGGGACAAAUCUUAUUUACACCAUUUAGCAAUUGUAAUAAUGACUUGUUUAUAAAAUAUAAAUUAGUAUUAUCAUAUGACAAUAAAAAGGGUAAAUUUGCAUAACAGAUCCUAUAAACAAAAAAAUAACGUAAAUAACUCAAAAAUAUAAGGAACUAACCAAGAAAAGACGAGUGAAUUCGAAGUAAAAAUAUAUAUAAAUAUGAUCCGAUCAAAUACCCCCACACUUAGCUUUUGCUAGUCCUCGAGCAAAACAAAGAAAACAAGAACAAGAAGUAACAAGAAAAACAUUAGCUUCCCUCUAUGUGACCCUCAUAGAAAUUCAUUUAAGAAAACAAAUCAUCAAGAACCAUAGCUAGCAUCAAGGAACUAAUCCAAGUUCAUCUUCCUUAUUCAAAUAUUAGCAGUAAUCUUUGAAUCAUCCUUGAAGUGUAGUGUGUGAGAUAGCCAUGCUAAUGCAAUUUCAAGUUUUUAUUUUUAAAAUCAUCAUAUGCAAACUAGUAAUCUUCUCACGGGAUAUGCAUUCAAUCACACAUGUGUUUAGUUUUAAUGUGUUUCACUCAAAGAAUCAAAUGUGAAAUUUCUACCAUAAGCUUGCAUAAAGAUCACUUCUCCACAGUCAUAAUUGCAAAACUUAAAUCAAGAGGACUUUUAUUGGACGUAAUGAGGUUUAGGGAGAGGGUCAUUGAAACGAAAGAAUAGGAAAACACAAGUUCCAAGCUACAUUGCAAGCAAUUCUUCUAUUUAGAUUUAUAAGAACUCAAUAUUUCCAACGAUUCUUUUAGCACCUCCAACCACACCCUUAAACUGAAAAUUGACAAACUUUUUAUUUCAUUUGUAUACAAUCUUUCUUCUUUUUUUUUUUUUUCUUUUUUUUUUUUUUUUUUUUUUUUUUUUUUUUUUUUUUUUUAUUUUAAAUACAAACAUGAAAUACCCCCACACUUAUUCUUUUGCCACACACCUUCAAAGCACUUCACAAACGUUUCUCAUAAGACAAUCUCGCAUUGCUCGCUUGGAAAGGGUAAGGAAAAAAUGGUUCAGGUAUAAGGGUAGACAUAUCUGGAAAUAAGAAAUAAAAGGCUCAACAUACACGGCUCAAAUUGGCAAUCUAAUGAUAUCAUUUUUCUUUGGGGAACAUAGUUAUUUGGGCCAUAGUGGUAAACCUAAUGCCUCUAUCAUUUCCAAGUUCAUGCAAUCAAUGACAAACAUUUCGAAAGAUCGUUACGCAAGUUCUAGAGAUGUAUCUCACAUAAGUUCAUCACACAUGAAAGAAUAGGAGUGUAUGAAAAAUGCACACUUUCAAUAGGCUCAAAAACUCACAUAGGAUGUAUAUGGUCACUAAAUUCACAUAUGAAGCUUUAAGUCAUACUUUAGUUUCACAUUAACAAGGCUAUGUGCAUUUGGUUUUUCAAAGAUGAUCAAACAUGUACAAAACUAACAAGAGAAUUAGGAAUUUCACCAAACACAUGUUAACUAAGUUCUUGAUGAUCAUGGUUCAAAUUUUUGAUCCAAUUAUAUCAUUGGGUCGGGAAACUAACAAAAAUCUGAUUCAGAACAAUAAGGGAAACAAGACAAUAUUCUUUGGAUUUCUAAAUUUUCCGAUUUUUUUUUUUUUUUUUUUUUUUUUUUUUUUUUUUAACUCUCUUUUUUUUUUUUUUUUUUUUUUUUUUUUUAAAAGAAAACAAAACUAAUUUAAGAACACCAAAAAAAAAACAACAACACAGAGACAAAUGACAUUCUGGAGAUUUUCUACCCCCCACACUUAAACUUGGACAUUGUCCCCCAAUGUCAGAAAACACUAUAAUGCAAAUAAAAAAAAAUAAAAUAAAAUAAAUAAAUAAUAAGAAACAAAAUAACGCAAUUGGACUGAAAACUUCCCUAAUUUGCAGUAAAAUCAAGCGAUGACCCCCAAGCAAAAAUUCUGCAAUCAACUUCAAGGGUGGAAAUAACCAAAAGUUCCUGCAAAGAAAGGAAAAAAAGUUAAGUACGCAAGAAAAUUAAUUAAAAAAAAUUGCAAACGAAAAAUUGAAAAUUACGAUAAAAGAUAAUGAAUAAAACUAAUAAGUAAUCAUUAUUGUAAAAUAUUUGCUUUUUUUUUAUGUAAUUUUUUUUUUUUUUUUUUUUUUUUUUUUUUUUUUUUUUUUUUUUUUUUAAUUAACAUUAAUUUUAAAUUUUAUCUUUUUUUUUUUUUUUAAUUUUUUUUUUUUUUUUAUAUGUAAAUUAAUGUAAAGAGACUUUGGUUAACCUUCCCCCACACUUAAACUAAAUAACACAAACUCACAGAAAUCAACCAAAUAACACAACUAACUAAACAAAACAAAAUGAAAGCAGUAAAAAUAAGGUGGAAGAAUGCAAAGCUGAUUGGGUUAGCGAUUCCAAAGCUUCCCUUCGUUGAAUGCUUGGGUUGCCUCCCAAGAAGCGCUUGAUUUAACGUCUUUAGCCGGACGCAUAUUUCCUUUAAAUUUCCCUCGGCUCCAUUUGAACCUCAAAUCAAAGAAAAAUAAAUCAAAUAUCAAAAGUAAAAUACACAAACACCAAUAUAAACAUAAACAAAAACAAAAAUAAAAGGAUUAGCAAAGUUACUAAUCCCCGGCAACGGCGCCAAAAUUUGAUGCGAAAUAUAUAAGCACACAAAAUUAAACCCUCUUUGUGACAAUUGUAGUAUAGAUGUAAGUAGGGUAUCGUUCUAGCCGGGGAUUAGGAGGGAUUGCUAAUCUAUUCUAAAUUAAUUCAAAAAAAUAUUAAAUAGAGACUCAAGGACACAAAAUUAGGCUAAAAACUCUAAUAACUCGAAACACACUUAAAAUGACUCAAAAUAAUGAAAACAAUUAAAUUAAACACUAGGAACUGAAAUGGACGGAAAUUAAAUUAAAAGACUAACAAUAAAGAAAACUAACUAAAUAAUAUAAUUUAAUAAUGGAUGGGUGUUUGGUUUUGAUGAAAAGUAAAUUAACUUAAUUAAAUUACAGAAUUGACAAAAACAUAAAAUUAAGGUAAAAUGAUAAAUGACGGACUAGCUAGAGGGUUCUUCUCCACACAUGACACAUAUGCAACCUAAAUUGAUUUCAGUUGUUCUUUCAAUAAAUUGUGAAUCUCAAUACUCCAGAUUAACCGUGAACAGCACUUUUUAAUCUUCAAGUUUUCCUUAAGUUAUUGAAUUGGACGGGAAAACGCAUACAACAAUUCAAAACAUUCUUCAAAAGUCCCCUACGUGAAAAGCACAAUAGAGAUACAAUCAAAGAUCAUUAAACUUUGUGAAAACAUAUAAGCAUUGACGAGGCAUUCGUAACUAUGAAAAGCAUGAUACUCUUGCCAAGAAUUUACUUAACGUGAUUGUGACUAGCAACCUUUACUACUUGUGAAAAUAAGUUCAUAAACGAUUAGGUGAAAUUCACUUAUAUUCUAGCAUCAAAUUCAUGCAUGUAAAUUAAGCGUGCACUCUCAACCAACAUACACAAAUCAGUUUUUAUACGAACGGAUAAGUAAAUUGAAAUCACAACUUAUGAAAUCACAACCGAAGGUAAUCAAUUCAUAUUACAAAUAUAUUCAUGGUUUCGACUUAACCUCUAGCCAAAAUAAAAUUUAAUUACACAUUAUUAAAACAAAAAAAAAUAGGAGUUUGGAAAGAUUAAACCGAAAGAAAAGGCUUCUGCUUUCUGUGCUCUGACCAACUCUUGCUGUGCUCUCCUCUCCAUUCCGUGGACUUGGCUUCUUCUCUCUGCUGUGCUGACCAACCUCUCUCCCCCGUAUGUCCUUUCCCUCAUCUUCUUGUCACUGGUCUCUGCCCGUCUUGUUUUGCACCAAUCCCGCGUCACCCCUUGUGCUCUUCUCGAGCUGCCCAAAGGCAGCUCCCCAAUUGACCUCUUGACUGCUCUCUCACCUCUCUCUAGCAGCUCUCUUCAGCUGCCCCGAAGGGCAGCUCCUUUUUCUCUCCUCUUUCUCACUCCAAUCCUUCCCGUACUCCCUCACGCUUCUUUCUGCCUUCUUCUUUAUAUUUUCUUAACCUGCUCUCCAGCUGCCCACGUGGACUCAUUUGCACUGCCCUUUCUCUCUCUACUGUGUUGACCAAGCAGCAAUUCCAUCCUGUUUUCUUCACGCCGUCCCCC